UACGUAGGGUGCAGGCGUUAAUCGGAAUUACUGGGCGUAAAGCGUGCGCAGGCGGUUUGCUAAGACAGAUGUGAAAUCCCCGGGCUUAACCUGGGAAUUGCAUUUGUGACUGCACGGCUGGAGUGUGUCAGAGGGGGGUAGAAUUCCACGUGUAGCAGUGAAAUGCGUAGAGAUGUGGAGGAAUACCGAUGGCGAAGGCAGCCCCCUGGGCCAAUACUGACGCUCACGCACGAAAGCGUGGGGAGCAAACAGG
rnacentral:rRNA from 1 species